rnacentral:tRNA from 1 species
GGGACGGUGGCGGAAUUGGUAGACGCACCAGACUUAAAAUCUGUUGAGCACUAGCUCGUGAGGGUUCAAGUCCCUCUCGUCCUA